rnacentral:rRNA from 1 species
UACGAAGGGGGCUAGCGUUGCUCGGAAUUACUGGGCGUAAAGCGCGUGUAGGCGGACUUGUAAGUCGGAGGUGAAAUCCCGGGGCUCAACCUCGGAACUGCCUUCGAUACUGCAGGUCUGGAGCAUGUCAGAGGCGAGUGGAAUUGCGAGUGUAGAGGUGAAAUUCGUAGAUAUUCGCAGGAACACCAGUGGCGAAGGCGACUCGCUGGGACAUUGCUGACGCUGAGACGCGAAAGCGUGGGGAGCAAACAGG